AAUGGAGGAAACUCUGAUGCAGCAACGCCGCGUGGAGGACGAAGGUUUUCGGAUUGUAAACUCCUGUCUUUUGGGACGAUAAUGACGGUACCAAAAGAGGAAGCCACGGCUAACUACGUGCCAGCAGCCGCGGUAAUACGUAGGGGGCUAGCGUUAUCCGGAAUUACUGGGCGUAAAGGGUGCGUAGGUGGUUUCUUAAGUCAGAGGUGAAAGGCUACGGCUCAACCGUAGUAAGCUUUUGAAACUAGAGAACUUGAGUGCAGGAGAGGAGAGUAGAAUUCCUAGUGUAGCGGUGAAAUGCGUAGAUAUUAGGAGGAAUACCAGUAGCGAAGGCGGCUCUCUGGACUGUAACUGACACUGAGGCACGAAAGCGUGGGGAGCAAA
rnacentral:rRNA from 1 species